rnacentral:rRNA from 1 species
AUUGAACGCUGGCGGCAUGCUUUACACAUGCAAGUCGAACGGUAACAGGGAGCUUGCUCCGCUGACGAGUGGCGAACGGGUGAGUAAUGCGUCGGAACGUGCCGAGUAGUGGGGGAUAACGCAGCGAAAGUUGUGCUAAUACCGCAUACGUACUGAGGUAGAAAGUGGGGGACCUUCGGGCCUCACGCUAUUCGAGCGGCCGACGUCUGAUUAGCUAGUAGGUGAGGUAAAGGCUCACCUAGGCGAAGAUCAGUAGCGGGUCUGAGAGGAUGAUCCGCCACACUGGGACGGAGACACGGCCCAGACUCCUACGGGAGGCAGCAGUGGGGAAUUUUGGACAAUGGGCGAAAGCCUGAUCCAGCCAUGCCGCGUGUCUGAAGAAGGCCUUCGGGUUGUAAAGGACUUUUGUCGGGGAGGAAAUCCCCAGCGUUAAUACCGCUGGGGGAUGACAGUACCUGAAGAAUAAGCACCGGCUAACUACGUGCCAGCCGCCGCGGUAACAC